rnacentral:rRNA from 1 species
UACGUAGGGUGCGAGCGUUGUCCGGAAUUAUUGGGCGUAAAGGGCUCGUAGGCGGCCUGUCGCGUCGGAUGUGAAAGCCCGGGGCUUAACCCCGGGUCUGCAUUCGAUACGGGCAGGCUAGAGUGCGGUAGGGGAGAUCGGAAUUCCUGGUGUAGCGGUGAAAUGCGCAGAUAUCAGGAGGAACACCGGUGGCGAAGGCGGAUCUCUGGGCCAUUACUGACGCUGAGGAGCGAAAGCGUGGGGAGCGAACAGG